UUCCUACGGGGCGCAGCAGUGGGGAAUAUUGCGCAAUGGGCGAAAGCCUGACGCAGCGACGCCGCGUGAGUGAUGACGGCCUUCGGGUUGUAAAGCUCUGUCUUCAGGGACGAUAAUGACGGUACCUGAGGAGGAAGCCACGGCUAACUACGUGCCAGCAGCCGCGGUAAUACGUAGGUGGCGAGCGUUGUCCGGAUUUACUGGGCGUAAAGGGAGCGUAGGCGGGCUUUUAAGUGAGAUGUGAAAUACUCGGGCUCAACUUGAGUGCUGCAUUUCAAACUGGAAGUCUAGAGUGCAGGAGAGGG
rnacentral:rRNA from 1 species